ACUCCUACGGGAGGCAGCAGUGAGGAAUAUUGCGCAAUGGGCGAAAGCCUGACGCAGCGACGCCGCGUGGGUGAGGAAGUCCUUCGGGAUGUAAAGCCCUUUUGUGGGGGACGAUACCAGACGGUACCCCACGAAUAAGCCCCGGCUAACUACGUGCCAGCAGCCGCGGUAAU
rnacentral:rRNA from 1 species